UACGAAGGGGGCUAGCGUUGCUCGGAAUCACUGGGCGUAAAGGGCUCGUAGGCGGCCAACUAAGUCAGACGUGAAAUCCCUAGGCUCAACCUAGGAACUGCGUCUGAUACUGGAUGGCUUGAAUCCGGGAGAGGGAUGCAGAAUUCCAGGUGUAGCGGUGAAAUGCGUAGAUAUCUGGAGGAAUACCGGUGGCGAAGGCGGCAUCCUGGACCGGCAUUGACGCUGAGGAGCGAAAGCCAGGGGAGCAAAGCGGGGAUUAAGCAAAACCCCGAGUAACGUCCAG
rnacentral:rRNA from 1 species